CUCUUUUGGUGUUGGAUGGCCCUUCGAAGGAACUAUAGACAAGGAACAAUUGGCCAUGUAUUUAAGGUGGUGACAGGGUCGGAGGACAGCCAGUAUACCUAGAUCAAGUUCCUUUAUAUUGACUCAUGGUUAAAUAUAACACAGACAAAACCAGCAUAAAUUUAGCCCUGUUUAACAGCUUAUUGCAAAAAAGCCAAAAGUAAAAGUAAGAGCAGCUUCACCAGCAGACACAGAGUUAAAAACGGAGUCCCAGAAACAGCAAGAGAAGCCAGUUUUGCAGGAGCCGCCAGAGAUCAUAGAAAUUCUUUCUCCAUAUGUCCCAGCCUACUGCCCCGCUUUACCAAGGCAAACAGCCCCCUCAGAAACGAGAUUCAGGAGCUAACACGCCCCAGGUCUCACCUCGAAGGGGAGGAUCGGAGCCUCGAGAGGCCAAGGAAGGAAGUCAAGAUAGCCAAGUGGGCCGUCUCAGAUCUGGUCUUGCUCAAGCUAUGCAAAUGCCUCUCAGGGAGAUGUGAGGACCUGUCUAUUAUAAUGACCAGGCCCACAUCCGUGGGAGCAACAGACUUUCAUCUAUCAGCCCCUUUCAACCAUUGAUCUACUAAACUGGAAACACCCUGAACCCACCACCUUGCUCCCGACAGCUAGAGCCCUGUCGACAUGACUGUGUAGAGGUGUUGGACUCCAGUUUACUCCAGCAGACCUGACCUCCGGGACCAGUCUUGGGCAUCAGUAGACUAGGAGCUAUUCGUGGACGGGAACAGCUUCAUCAACCCACAAGGAAAGAGAUGUGCAGAAUAUGCGGUGGUAACCCUGGACACUGUCGUUAAGCUGAGCUCAUUGCUUUAAUUCGGGCCUUAGAACUCAGUAAAGGUGUUGUGUCUUGGAUCCACCACAGUCAGUUAACACCGGCAGCUCAGGACAAGUGCACCAGCCAGCAGGAUGCAGAUCAUCCAACCCGGUUGAUCCUGAGACGAGACCAAGCUGCUGCUGAGGAUGAUAGCCCUGUUCUGGUCACUCCGGAGGCUGACCAGUCUACAUACGGCUGCGGCUUGAGGAGACAACAAGCCCUGCUCUAGUCACACACCAGCAGCUGACUAGUCUAUGCACGACCGAAGCUUGAGGACUCAUCAAACAAGUAAAUGUAGUUAAAAAUCUUAAUAGUUUUCCUGCAAUACUGCUUUCCUAUUGUUCUGUCACUGUAUUCAACCUUUUUCCCAGGUAAGGACCUCUUUUGUCCUUGCUGGAUAUGAAUAUGCUGUACAUGGUUUUGUUGUUGUUACCCCCCAUAACCAUGCUAGAAGAAACACCUAGAUGAGGUGUCCCCACUGUACACAUACCACUUAGGAAACCCAGACCUGUUCAGCCCAGCACAAUUCCGAGUCUUGCAGUCAUUCUUUAAACAUACAAACCAGAAGUUACCAGAACCUCCUCCUUUAGCAAAA